GCAUAUCAAUAAGCGGAGGAAAAGAAACCAACAGGGAUUGCCUCAGUAACUGCGAGUGAAGCGGCAAAAGCUCAAAUUUGAAAUCUGGCGCCUUCGGCGUCCGAGUUGUAAUUUGGAGGGGCAUCUUCGGGUUUGGGCGCCGUCCUAAGUUCCUUGGAACAGGACGUCACAGAGGGUGAGAAUCCCGUGCCUGGGCGGCAGUCCAAAUCCAUGUGAAGUGUCUCCGACGAGUCGAGUUGUUUGGGAAUGCAGCUCAAAAUGGGUGGUAAACUUCAUCUAAAGCUAAAUAUUGGCGAGAGACCGAUAGCGCACAAGUAGAGUGAUCGAAAGAUGAAAAGCACUUUGAAAAGAGAGUUAAAAAGUACGUGAAAUUGUUGAAAGGGAAGCGCUUGCGACCAGACUCGGUCUUUGGGGGUCAUCCGGGUUUCGGCUCGGUGCCAUCCCCAUUGAUCGGGCCAGCAUCGGUUCCGGCGGCGGGAUAAAAGGCGAGGGAAUGUGGCUCUCUUCGGGGAGUGUUAUAGCCCUCGUCACAAUGCCGCCAGCUGGGACCGAGGACCGCGCUUCGGCUAGGAUGCUGGCGUAAUGGUCUUAAGCGACCCGUCUUGAAACACGGACCAAGGAGUCUAACAUCUAUGCGAGUGUUCGGGUGGAAAACCCUUGCGCGUAAUGAAAGUGAACGGAGGUGGGAACCCUUCGGGGUGCACCAUCGACCGGUCCUGAUGUCUUCGGAAGGAUCUGAGUAAGAGCAUAGCUGUUGGGACCCGAAAGAUGGUGAACUAUGCCUGAAUAGGGUGAAGCCAGAGGAAACUCUGGUGGAGGCUCGCAGCGGUUCUGACGUGCAAAUCGAUCGUCAAAUUUGGGUAUAGGGGGCGAAAGACUAAUCGAACCAUCUAGUAGCUGGGUUCCUGCCGA
rnacentral:rRNA from 1 species